rnacentral:rRNA from 1 species
CCUACGGUGGGCUGCAGUGGGGAAUAUUGGGCAAUGGAGGCAACUCUUACCCAGCAAUGCCGCGUGAAUGAAGAAGGUCUUCGGAUUGUACAGUUCUUUAAUUGGGGACGAAAAAAAUGACGGUACCCAAGGAAUAAGCCCCGGCUACUACCUUCCAGCAGACGCGGUAAUACGGAGGGGGCAAGCCUUGUUCGGAAUGACUGGGCGUAAAGGGUGUUUAGGCGGUGUAGCCAGUUAGAAGUUAAAUACCUAGAGCUUAACUUAGGUGCUGCUUCUAAAACUGCUAUACUUGAGUGCAGUAGAGGAAAGUGGAAUUCCUAGUGUAGCGGUGGAAUGCGUAGAUAUUAGGAGGAACAUCAGUGGCGAAGGCGACUUUCUGGACUGUAACUGACGCUGAGGCACGAAAGUGUGGGGGGCAAACAGGAUUAGAUACCCCUGUAGUC